UCUAGUAUGGCAGAAUUAGUGCAAUAAAUUUAAGAUUUAUAUAUAAAAUAAUAAUUUUUAUUAGAA
rnacentral:tRNA from 1 species